UCCGUAGGUGAACCUGCGGAGGGAUCAUUACAAGAACGCCCGGGCUUCGGCCUGGUUAUUCAUAACCCUUUGUUGUCCGACUCUGUUGCCUCCGGGGCGACCCUGCCUUCGGGCGGGGGCUCCGGGUGGACACUUCAAACUCUUGCGUAACUUUGCAGUCUGAGUAAACUUAAUUAAUAAAUUAAAACUUUUAACAACGGAUCUCUUGGUUCUGGCAUCGAUGAAGAACGCAGCGAAAUGCGAUAAGUAAUGUGAAUUGCAGAAUUCAGUGAAUCAUCGAAUCUUUGAACGCACAUUGCGCCCCCUGGUAUUCCGGGGGGCAUGCCUGUUCGAGCGUCAUUUCACCACUCAAGCCUCGCUUGGUAUUGGGCAACGCGGUCCGCCGCGUGCCUCAAAUCGUCCGGCUGGGUCUUCUGUCCCCUAAGCGUUGUGGAAACUAUUCGCUAAAGGGUGUUCGGGAGGCUACGCCGUAAAACAACCCCAUUUCUAAGGUUGACCUCGGAUCAGGUAGGGAUACCCGCUGAACUUAAGCAUAUCAAUAAGCGGAGGAAA
rnacentral:sRNA from 1 species